rnacentral:antisense_RNA from 1 species
CUUGAUGGAGCCCAGCCACAGGGGACGGUCGGCGGGCCGGUCCUGCCCGUAGGUGGCCAGCAGCGCCUGCGCCUC